rnacentral:rRNA from 1 species
CCUACGGGUGGCAGCAGUGAGGAAUAUUGGUCAAUGGCCGGAAGGCUGAACCAGCCAUGCCGCGUGAAGGUCAGUGCCCUAUGGGCGUUAAACUUCUUUUGUGCGGGAGCAAUAAUGGUCACGUGUGGCCAGACGAGAGUACCGUACGAAUAAGCAUCGGCUAACUCCGUGCCAGCAGCCGCGGUAAUACGGGGGAGGCAAGGGUUAUCCGGAUUUAUUGGGGUUAAAGGGUGCGGAGGGUGUGAGGUAAGUCAGCGGUGAAAUGCCCCCGCUCAACGGGGUGAAGGGCCAUUGAUACUGGCUUGCUAGAAUGCGGAUGCCGUGGGAGGAAUGUGUGGUGUAGCGGUGAAAUGCAUAGAUAUCACACAGAACACCGAUUGCGAAGGCAUCUCACGAAGCCGCGAUUGACGCUGAUGCACGAAAGCGUGGGUAUCAAACAGGAUUAGAUACCCUUGUAGUC